UCUCUCUCCCUCUAAUCUCACACUAUGACAGUUUAGCUCAGAGCCCGUAUUUGUUUUGUGUCUAAAUCUGUAUUUCCACCCUGGAGUGAGGCGAACAGGGGCGGCUUAGAGCGUACAGUAUGCCACAAUGGUGUUUAUCAUUUGCUGCUACUGGAUUCAUAGCAGCUACUGUAUUGGACUUUUUGCUAUUGUAUGUUCAGCGCUUCGGGAGGACCGCUGACAGCCCUUCAGACGGGAUGCAUUAAUGUGAGAGUGGUCAGUGAGCAAUUGCUGAUCCUGGAGGGUGAUAAAGAGUACGAGCCGACUGCAGAGGGUGCGGAUCUGGAGGACACAGCGUUUACUCCAGUACGCUGGACGAUAACCUGAGGUGCAGCGAUAAACAAUCAAAGUGCAGCUUCAGUGGAAACGAUUGCGGCCAGUAUCCCAGCCUGAGAUGGGAGCCAUUAUUAACGCCGGCCCUGUCCUGACAACGCUAUUCUCUGGAAGAGAACAACAGAGGUCACAACACAACAACCACAAUGAGAAUGCAGAGGCAUGUGGUGGAGCGGAGAGCCGGUGUUCCCAACCCCCACUCCAAUGUAUUACUCGAACACUGCAGUCACAGGGAAAGAUCAAAUGAGAGACACUGGCAAAUAUGUAACGGAACAGUUUUUCUUCUCUUUUGUCUUAUAAUAACGCUCUUUUCUCUCAUAACCCUUUUAUCACACAUGUCAAUGCACAAACCCUUGGGUUUAAUUAUUUGCAACAUUUCUUAGCCAGUGAGAAUGAGUUGUUUCUGUUAAAACACACAAGCACACAUACAGUACUUUCAUAGCUGUGUUUAAGAUGCAUUUACACUUUCACAAGCCAGAAGACAUUUGUUGACUUAUGUUUUUCUAUAAGAGAAUGUAACAAAGACUUUGUUCAGUGAUGUUUCUUAUCGGUUUUCUCCAAAAUCAUGUUUAAUAUAUUGUUGAGAAGCUGAUUUAAAUUUUUAACUUGCGCUGCAUGAUUAUGUAAAUUAGAUAUACAAUCAAUCUACUCUUUUUAAGGAUUAGUUCACCACAGUCACUAACAAACAUUAGAUUUUGCUAAUUAAAGCUACUUGGGGGAGCAAAUUAAGCUUAUAUAAGAUUACACAAAUAUUUACCUAAACAGAUAAAUGAACAGAUUUACUCUAUAUGUAACUACUAAAAACUACAACACUCCUGAAUUGUUGUAUCUGCAUCUAAAACAUUGUAAUGAAUAGCAGCAUUUAUCUCAAUUUUGGUGCAGAUAUGAAGACCUAAAAUGCCAUGCAGGGAUUGAAUUGGGUGCAACCAAAUGUUUGAGAUUAUUAUUUUUGUGCCAAUAUAAAUGAACCCAAACCUUUAAAGGCCCAGUGUAUGCAAUUUAGCAUCAUCUAGCGAUCACCUCCCUUUGAAGCACUACAGUGGCUGACAUGCCACGAAUGCCUAGUUUCCACUGAGCAGUACGGUUCAGUUCAGUACAAUACGCUUCGUUUCCCAAUAACGUUGUCUCUUAGCGUGCUACGAAGACUCUAAAGGUACACCUUAACUACAGUUGUACCUUUUCUAGGUGUGUUUCCUGAACUAUCCCUUAAGAGGUUACUUUCUUAUGUCCCAUGUUACCAGGUGCUUACCAUGGCGGGGGUGCUGAAUUAAUGGAUAUCAAUAGUUCGGCAAUCAAUUAUUCACUCUAUACAGGGACUGUAUCACUGCGUUAUGUGAGGUAGCAGUGUUCUUUAUAAAAUAAGCAAUUUAGAAAUAGUAGAAGUUGCAUUUAUUAUGUAGCCAGGUUUCCACGGAUUAAAUGCACUGAAAUGCUCAGCGGAUGGUGCCAUCUUUGAUUUAGUAAAACAAUGUGCUGUUUCACUGCAGUUUGACUAAACUUCCUACCACAGUCUUUCUCUUUAAAUAUACUCAAAAUUCUUUGGUUUGCCAGCUGAUGCACCUUUAGAUAAUAUCAUUUAAAAGCUAACAACUAUCAGUGUUAAGACAAUUAUAUUCUUUGCAUGAAAACACGUCAAUAUACCAGUGUAUUUAACUUUAGAAUUGUAUUUGUAUAGACUGCGAUGUAAAGAAGCUUUUUUCACAGUGGCCACUAGCGUGAACAUUUGAUGGUGAUAAGGUAUUGCUAAAAGCGCUCCAGACCAACCUUCCGAACUUCUGUGUCUCAGUUUUAUCAGCAUAACCUUUUCUCCAACAUUGUGGGAUUUACUGUUCUUUCAACACUGUAUGAAGAGGAACUCAUCAGAGCAAUAUUUAUGCUGUACACAACAGCCAACAACUAGUAGUCACAAGUCCAAUACGGCUCUUGUUGAGGUCAUGCUUUUCUUUCAAACCAUACCUUAAAAUAAGAUGUUUUCCUUUCUGCGCACAGAAGAGAGGCAGCUAAGCAUUAUCUUGUUACCAGGCAACAACAAUAGUGGUCUAUAGCGAAAGGUCACGAGGUGAUCCACCACUCAUUUUCUACCAUUAGUCUUAGAGUCAUCGCCGCAACUUUAAAUAAAGCAGUAUUUAUGACAUACGGAGCAACUCAACAGACAGUUUCUGUUCAAAUACUGUAUGUGAAUCGAAAUUCGACAAAACACAAGAUGCAGCGCACGGGAGCCCCCCGAAAGAUGCGUCGUUCUCCACACAAUUACAUCGGAUGGAAAAAAGUAAUGUAGUGGAAAAGAGGUUAAUUUGAUUAGAUUUCACAUUUUGUUGGUAAUUAACUAAAGGCUUCAGAUGAGCACGAUUGCUUAAAAAGAAGUAAAGAAAGCAAGAAAGCAGAAAGAAACAAUAUUGAUAGCUGUAAAUGCAUGUCAGGACUAAAAUAAACAAAAGCAACAUUACGGAAAUGAUGAAAUUCAUCAUCAAUGACAGUAGUUCAUUACUCUAAUGGGACAACCGGGGGACAAGUAGUUAGUUGGUAACAAUGGGACGAUCAUCGACGCCAGCGUCUGCUAAAUCGAAAUGAUUUCCUCAUAGUCAAAAUACAAUACAGUCUGUUUGAUUUGACAAGCUCACUUUGCGCACCUCAGAGACCACAUUAUCCCAAUAUAACACUUCACACCACAUUAUUUUUCCUCACAAAUCGGACGUUUCCAUCUUUGUCUCUUUCUAUCUUUGGCAUAUUCUUUCUCUCCGUCUCUGUGAUUUUCAUACUAAAAAACACAUUCAUUGAGGACGGAAGCAAAUAAGAAAAAGUUUCAGUCUAAUUAAUAUGGAAGGCUUGGUGGCACAUCAGCUCUUCCCGAGUCUGCUUUGACUUUCUCUAUGUCAGUUCUUCCAACAGGAAGUUAAUGAUCCUGGCAACAAGAUGAAUCACUCCAGACAUGGUGCAGAGCAGCUCUGACAAGCCAGCGAGACGACUCCUGACACCUGCUCAUGUCGAGCUGUAGAAAGAGAGAGAGAGAGGAAGACAGAGAUGGAAUAAGAAGGCUUACCUGUUGGAGUUGAGCUAUGUCUGAUCUAACCAAAACAAUCAUUUCUGUCUGGAAUUAGAAAAAAUACAAAGUACUUGAAUGAGAUAAGACUCACAGAUCUCCAGAAACAAAAUAAGGAAUUAACAAGGUCAGUGAUGUGAGAGCCAUAUUCAAGCUGAAGAAACGCUGGUCUUAUGAAGAAUAAUUGUGUUCUUCAAAAGAUGAGAUUGCAAAGUCUGUGAGUAUUACUUCAACUAUGACCUUGGCUCUUUGGAAAUUUCAAUUUUCUUUCAAUCUUUUUAAUUGGUUCAUUGGUCCAAACAAAACAUACAUAACAGCAUUUGAAAUGUGAACAGAUUGUUAUUAUGUAUUAUUUUAUGUAUAUAAAAUACACUUUCAGGCUAUAACACUUUUUGCAAAGAUCUUAAAUGAUAGCUCGAUU